rnacentral:rRNA from 1 species
AUACGGAGGAUCCGAGCGUUAUCCGGAUUUAUUGGGUUUAAAGGGUGCGCAGGCGGCCAUUUAAGUCAGCGGUUAAAUCGUGGGGCUCAACCCCAUUCUGCCGUUGAUACUGGGUGGCUUGAUUGCGGGCGAGGUUGGCGGAAUUCGUUGUGUAGCGGGUAAAUGCAUAGAUAUGACGAAGAACACCGAUUGCGUAGGCAGCUGACCAGACCGCAAAUGACGCUCAUGCACGAAAGUGCGGGGAUCGAACAGGAUUAGAUACCCUGGUAGUCCGCACAGUAAACGAUGAAUACUUGUUUUCGGCGAUAUAAUGUCGGAGGCAAAGCGAAAGCGAUAAGUAUUCCACCUGGGGAGUACGCCGGCAACGGUGAAACUCAAAUGAAUUGACGGGG